GUCCUGCUUUGUGCUGCACACUCCUGGGAUCAAGUUCUAAACCCUACACUUUUUAGUUGUCUAUGACCUUGGAGCAGUUAAACUUUUUGCCUCAGCUCUAUCAUCAGUAAGAUAGGUCUACAGUGCAGUAUCUGACCUAUUGAUGUGGGCCAAUCGUGAAUGAUACAGCAUGUCAUCUUAGAGAAAUCCUUGUGAUAAUAAUACAUUGAAAACUACAGUAUAUUUGGCUAAAGGGUUGGCACAAGAUGAGAAGAUCCUACUAAGAUCGAUAGUUGUGAUAACUCAAUUUAUAAACUUUAGCAAACCCUAAAUUGGGUUGGGUCAUGAUGGCCUGAAUCACAUGGCAAGAAACAAAUGAUGU